rnacentral:rRNA from 1 species
UACGGAGGGGACUAGCGUUGUUCGGAAUUACUGGGCGUAAAGCGCACGUAGGCGGACUAUUAAGUCAGGGGUGAAAUCCCGGGGCUCAACCCCGGAACUGCCUUUGAUACUGGUAGUCUCGAGUCCGGAAGAGGUGAGUGGAAUUCCGAGUGUAGAGGUGAAAUUCGUAGAUAUUCGGAGGAACACCCGUGGCUACGGCGGCUCUCUAGUACGGUACUGACGCUGAGACGCGAAAGCGUGGGGAGCGAACAGG